UACGAGGGGGGCGAGCGUUGUUCGGAAUUAUUGGGCGUAAAGGGUGCGUAGGCGGUUCGGUAAGUCUUGUGUGAAAUCUUCGGGCUCAACUCGAAGUCUGCACGAGAAACUGCCGGGCUUGAGUGUGGGAGAGGUGAGUGGAAUUUCCGGUGUAGCGGUGAAACGCGUAGAUAUCAGGAGGAACACCGGUGGCGAAGGCGGGUCUCUGGGCCGAUACUGACGCUGAGGAGCGAAAGCGUGGGGAGCGAACAGG
rnacentral:rRNA from 1 species